GAUGAACGCUGGCGGCGUGCCUAAUACAUGCAAGUCGAGCGAACAGACGAGGAGCUUGCUCCUCUGACGUUAGCGGCGGACGGGUGAGUAACACGUGGAUAACCUACCUAUAAGACUGGGAUAACUUCGGGAAACCGGAGCUAAUACCGGAUAACAUGUUGAACCGCAUGGUUCAACAGUGAAAGACGGUCUUGCUGUCACUUAUAGAUGGAUCCGCGCCGCAUUAGCUAGUUGGUAAGGUAACGGCUUACCAAGGCAACGAUGCGUAGCCGACCUGAGAGGGUGAUCGGCCACACUGGAACUGAGACACGGUCCAGACUCCUACGGGAGGCAGCAGUAGGGAAUCUUCCGCAAUGGGCGAAAGCCUGAUGGAGCAACGCCGCGUGAGUGAAGAAGGUCUUCGGAUCGUAAAACUCUGUUAUUAGGGAAGAACAAAUGUGUAAGUAACUAUGCACGUCUUGACGGUACCUAAUCAGAAAGCCACGGCUAACUACGUG
rnacentral:rRNA from 1 species